GUGAAUAUUGAUAUAUAUAUAUGUUCUAUAUAUAGCUAGUGAAUAUUAUAUAUAUAUAUAUCUUAACUAUUGAGAAUAAAAUAGAGCCAUAAAAUAGGCAUUAAAGAUUCACAGAAGGCCUAUAAUGGUCAGGGUUUCUGAGGAGGGCAGAAGGGGAGGACACAAAGUCCAUGCCGGGCUCAAACUGUGAUCCUCUCUGCCUCGUCUGUGACCUUUGACAAGUCACUAAUGCUCUCUCAUCCUUGAUGUCCAAAUGCAUAAAAUUGGGUUAAUGACACCUUAUCAGAAGAGGCAGGAGUGGCAGAAACAGGAGUGUGUGCCCUGAGAUGUCAGUUACCCAAGGCAUUGUAAGUAGCCUACAGUGACACCAGGUAUCAGUUCCUGGCAAGGAUACCUAGACAUCAAAUUGUUAGGCAGAAAUUUAAAUUUUACUUCUAUGUGGUCAUCAUAACCCUUGAAUCUGGCAAGAUUCUCUUUGCUGUUGCUAAAAGCUGACCCAGGCCAUGUCUGUACAUUUCAUAUUUUUCCACCAAGUGUGCCAAUUUACUUAAGGUUUCCUACUGAAGAGGUAAAAUGAACACUGAUCUUGCUAUAGAAUCAGUCAUCGUAAAGCCAUUUAUUAAAAAGCUAAACUUAAACUA
rnacentral:lncRNA from 1 species